AAACACAAAAUCAAAAUGUGUAAACACUACCAACAUUGAUUAUCCAUAAAAUAUUAAACCACUAAUAACUUCUCGGAAGUCGAACAUUCUUUUUGGUUUCAACGUCUGAACCAGCCAAGUUUUAGUAAAUCGUUUGUAACUAUUUGUAUGCUAAAAAUCAGAAUUUGUAAGUCAUCUCCCCUAAUAUUAUCACUGAAUGUUUAGCCACCGGAGU